UGCGAAGGGGGCUAGCGUUGUUCGGAAUUACUGGGCGUAAAGGGCGCGUAGGCGGUGUGUCAAGUCAGGCGUGAAAGCCCCGGGCUCAACCUGGGAACCGCGCUUGAGACUGGCACGCUAGAGUUCGGGAGAGGAUGGUGGAAUUCCCAGUGUAGAGGUGAAAUUCGUAGAUAUUGGGAAGAACACCGAUGGCGAAGGCAGCCAUCUGGACCGACACUGACGCUGAGGCGCGAAAGCGUGGGGAGCAAACAGG
rnacentral:rRNA from 1 species